rnacentral:rRNA from 1 species
UACGAAGGGGGCUAGCGUUGUUCGGAAUUACUGGGCGUAAAGGGCGCGUAGGCGGCCGUUUAAGUUAGAUGUGAAAGUCCUGGGCUCAACCUGGGGACUGCAUUUGAUACUGGAUGGCUUGAAUUCGGGAGAGGAUAGCGGAAUUCCCAGUGUAGAGGUGAAAUUCGUAGAUAUUGGGAAGAACACCGGUGGCGAAGGCGGCUAUCUGGACCGACAUUGACGCUGAGGCGCGAAAGCGUGGGGAGCAAACAGGAUUAGAUACCCCCGUAGUCC